UAUUGCACAAUGGGGGAAACCCUGAUGCAGCGACGCCGCGUGAAGGAAGAAGUAUCUCGCUAUGUAAACUUCUAUCACCAGGGAAGAANNAGACGGUACCUGACGAAGAAGCCCCGGCUAACAACGUGCCAGCAGCCGCGGUAAUACGUAGGGGGCAAGCGUUAUCCGGAUUUACUGGGUGUAAAGGGAGCGUAGACGGAAGAGCAAGUCUGAUGUGAAAGGCUGGGGCUUAACCCCAGGACUGCAUUGGAAACUGUUGUUCUAGAGUGCCGGAGAGGUAAGCGGAAUUCCUAGUGUAGCGGUGAAAUGCGUAGAUAUUAGGAGGAACACCAGUGGCGAAGGCGGCUUACUGGACGGUAACUGACGUUGAGGCUCGAAAGCGUGGGGAGCAAACA
rnacentral:rRNA from 1 species